rnacentral:rRNA from 1 species
UACGAAGGGGGCUAGCGUUGUUCGGAUUCAUUGGGCGUAAAGGGUGCGUAGGCGGCGCGGUAAGUCGGGUGUGAAAUCUCGGGGCUUAACUCCGAAACUGCAUUCGAUACUGCCGUGCUUGAGGACUGGAGAGGAGACUGGAAUUUACGGUGUAGCGGUGAAAUGCGUAGAUAUCGUAAGGAAGACCAGUGGCGAAGGCGGGUCUCUGGACAGUUCCUGACGCUGAGGCACGAAGGUGAGGGGAGCAAACGGG